rnacentral:rRNA from 1 species
UACGUAGGGGGCAAGCGUUGUCCGGAUUUAUUGGGCGUAAAGAGCGUGUAGGCGGCCUGGAAGGUCAGCUGUGAAAACUCGAGGCUCAACCUCGAGACGUCGGUUGAAACCACCUGGCUAGAGUCCGGAAGAGGAGAGUGGAAUUCCCGGUGUAGCGGUGAAAUGCGCAGAUAUCGGGAAGAACACCCGUGGCAAAGGCGGCUCUCUGGGACGGUACUGACGCUGAGACGCGAAAGCGUGGGGAGCGAACAGG